rnacentral:rRNA from 1 species
ACGCUCGACACCUACGGGAGGCAGCAGUGGGGAAUAUUGCACAAUGGGGGAAACCCUGAUGCAGCGACGCCGCGUGGAGGAAGAAGGUCUUCGGAUUGUAAACUCCUGUUGUUGGGGAAAAAGAGGAUGGUACCCAACAAGGAAGUGACGGCUAACUACGUGCCCGCAGCCGCGGUAAUCUGAGCGGGCUGGCAAGGC